rnacentral:rRNA from 1 species
UGGGGAAUUUUGGACAAUGGGGGAAACCCUGAUCCAGCCAUCCCGCGUGUGCGAUGAAGGCCUUCGGGUUGUAAAGCACUUUUGGCAGGAAAGAAACGUCAUGGGUUAAUACCCCGUGAAACUGACGGUACCUGCAGAAUAAGCACCGGCUAACUACGUGCCAGCAGCCGCGGUAAUACGUAGGGUGCAAGCGUUAAUCGGAAUUACUGGGCGUAAAGCGUGCGCAGGCGGUUCGGAAAGAAAGAUGUGAAAUCCCAGAACUCAACUUUGGAACUGCAUUUUUAACUACCGGGCUAGAGUGUGUCAGAAGGAGGUGGAAUUCCGCGUGUAGCAGUGAAAUGCGUAGAUAUGCGGAGGAACACCGAUGGCGAAGGCAGCCUCCUGGGAUAACACUGACGCUCAUGCACGAAAGCGUGGGGAGCAAACAGG